AGUGAACGCUGGCGGUAGGCCUAACACAUGCAAGUCGAACGGCAGCACAGUAAGAGCUUGCUCUUACGGGUGGCGAGUGGCGGACGGGUGAGGAAUACAUCGGCAUCUUCUUUUUCGUGGGGGAUAACGUAGGGAAACUUACGCUACUACCGCAUAUGACCUACGGGUGAAAGCAGGGGAUCUUCGGAACUUGCGCGACUGAAUGAGCCGAUGUCGGAUUAGCUAGUUGGCGGGGUAAAGGCCCACCAAGGCGACGAUCCGUAGCUGGUCUGAGAGGAUGAUCAGCCACACUGGAACUGAGACACGGUCCAGACUCCUACGGGAGGCAGCAGUGGGGAAUAUUGGACAAUGGGCGCAAGCCUGAUCCAGCCAUACCGCGUGGGUGAAGAAGGCCUUCGGGUUGUAAAGCCCUUUUGUUGGGAAAGAAAAGCAGCAGGUUAAUACCCCGCUGUUCUGACGGUACCCAAAGAAUAAGCACCGGCUAACUUCGUG
rnacentral:rRNA from 1 species